CAGUCGCCGCGGGAAUACGAAGGGUGCAAGCGUUACUCGGAAUUACUGGGCGUAAAGCGUGCGUAGGUGGUGGUUUAAGUCCGUUGUGAAGCCCUGGGCUCAACCUGGGAAUUGCAGUGGAUACUGGGUCACUAGAGUGUGGUAGAGGAUAGUGGAAUUUCCGGUGUAGCAGUGAAAUGCGUAGAGAUCGGAAGGAACAUCUGUGGCGAAGGCGACUAUCUGGGCCAACACUGACACUGAGGCACGAAAGCGUGGGGAGCAAACAGGAUUAGAUACCCCGGUAGUCCCUGUCUCUUAUACA
rnacentral:rRNA from 1 species